UACGAAGGGGGCUAGCGUUGUUCGGAAUUACUGGGCGUAAAGCGUGCGCAGGCGGCUUCUCAAGUCAGGGGUGAAAGCCCAGAGCUCAACUCUGGAAUUGCCUUUGAGACUGAGUGGCUUGAGUACGAGAGAGGUGAGUGGGAUUCCCAGUGUAGAGGUGAAAUUCGUAGAUAUUGGGAAGAACACCGGUGGCGAAGGCGGCUCACUGGCUCGUAACUGACGCUCAUGCACGACAGCGUGGGGAUCAAACAGG
rnacentral:rRNA from 1 species